UCAUUAGCGAAAAACGUUUGUCGAGAAGGGUUGUAGCUGGCCUCGCCAGGCACGUGCACGCCUGGAUCGCAAAUUUUAUCUUCACACCUGUGCACACCCUGUAGCCUCGCGAUGCUGAUGAUGCGGGUUUCCGCUUCUGACGCGUUUUUCUUGGCUGCGAGCUUCGUUAUUACACACACUUUGUCAAGUAUCAGAAUGUAACUGUCGUCGCGUGUAGAAGCGCGAAACGUACAACUUUCAGCAACGGAUCUCUUGGCUCUCGCAUCGAUGAAGAACGCAGCGAAAUGCGAUAAGUAAUGUGAAUUGCAGAAUUCAGUGAAUCAUCGAAUCUUUGAACGCACCUUGCGCUCCUUGGUAUUCCGAGGAGCAUGCCUGUUUGAGUGUCAUGAAGUUCUCGACUGCCUUUAUGGUGAAGUCGGAUUUGGAGGGCGAUCUUGCUGGCGGCUCUUUCAUGGGCUUUGUCGGCUCCUCUUGAACGCAUGAGCGUUUCCUUGUGCAUCAUUGCGAAGGGACUCCGACGUGAUAAUCAUCUGCGUCGGACGUCUUGUUUGCUUUUUGGGCGCGCGAGGGGAUCGCGGAUCCGCAUCUUUUUGGGGUGCGUCUUUGACCAAU
rnacentral:rRNA from 1 species